rnacentral:rRNA from 1 species
UACGUAGGUGACAAGCGUUGUCCGGAUUUACUGGGCGUAAAGAGCGCGCAGGCGGUCGAUCAAGUCGAGUGUGAAAGCCCCCAGCUCAACUGGGGAGGGUCAUUCGAUACUGAUCGACUCGAAGGCAGGAGAGGGUAGUGGAAUUCCCGGUGUAGUGGUGAAAUGCGUAGAUAUCGGGAGGAACACCAGUGGCGAAGGCGACUACCUGGCCUGUUCUUGACGCUGAGGCGCGAAAGCUAGGGGAGCAAACGGG